AGUUAUUAAUGGAUGAUAACUAAUACGUAUAUUUGUUUGCAGACCUAAGAAGAUGACAAACUCCAGGACUUGCAGAACUAGAUAUUCUGACAGGAGCCAGCGUAACCAUUUGUGACCGUUUGAGGUGGGUUGUCACCACUUUGUGUCCUGAAUGACCAUGUAUGGGGAAAUACAGCUGUGGUAGACGCUAUCCAUAAAAAAAAGUCUAUCUCCAGGAAGUUUGCAGUGGGCACAGAUGUAAGCCAAAAAAGAUGCUAUGGAGAAACUGGACACAGAAGGCAGAGCAGUAGCCUCCCAAGGUACUCCAGAACUGCAGCCUACGUAAUGCUCCGUGGGACAGCCAGAAAGGUUUAACUUGUGCGCUGUCAGACACAACCAGUUAACGGUAUGCAUUUCUAUGUUAUUAAAUAUUAUUACAAAUUGCAUGGUACAUUUGUUGUUAA
rnacentral:lncRNA from 1 species